rnacentral:rRNA from 1 species
CCUACGGGUGGCAGCAGUGAGGAAUAUUGGUCAAUGGACGAGAGUCUGAACCAGCCACGUAGCGUGAAGGAUGAAUGCCCUAUGGGUUGUAAACUUCUUUUAUAUGGGAAUAAAAUGUUUCACGUGUGGGAUUUUGUAUGUACCAUAUGAAUAAGGAUAGGCUAACUCCGUGCCAGCCGCCGCGGUAAUACGGAGGGUCCGAGCGUUAUGCGGAUUUAUUGGGUUUAAAGGGAGCGUAGGUGGAUUGUUAAGUCAGUUGUGAAAGUUUGCGGCUCAACGUGAAAAUUGCAGUUGAAACUGGCAGUCUUGAGUACAGUAGAGGUGGGCGGAAUUCGUGGUGUAGCAGUGAAAUGCUUAGAUAUCACGAAGAACUCCGAUGGUGAAGGCAGCUCUCUGGACUGUAACUGACACUGAGGCUCGAAAGUGUGGGUAUCAAACAGGAUUAGAUACCCGAGUAGUC